rnacentral:lncRNA from 10 species
GUGAGUUAUGAGCCUGACCUUGAAUGCCCUUGCUCAUAAGGAGUGUAGAUUUUAGUUUCAUUUUCAUUGGUCAAUACAGGCAAGCCUUUGAAGGGUUUCUGCAAGAGAAUGUAGAUAUUGGAGUUGGGCUGCACCAGUGCAAACUGGACUGGGAACUGGGAAGGGAACAAGUGGGAGGUACAGUCAGGACAUUAUUGUCAUAACUUGGGCAGCAGUUACAGAGGCAAGCAAGGUGGAGAGGGGGUGGAAAUGAAGGGAGCAAAACCAUGUGAAAGGUCACUGAGGAAGUUCCAGUGUGGAUGCCUGGAAGAUACAAGAGAACAACUCCCAGAGAUUUGGAAAUACGGAGGAGGAGAGGUUUAAAAGUGCUGGUGUGGAAAUAUUAUAAGAGGGUAAACUGAAGACCCCAGAAGCUUGGCAGAUGGCAGGAAGACCACUGUCCCCAGGGGAAAUUCACUCUGUAAAAAGAUGCUUAAGGCUGAAGAUAAACUCUCCACGGCAGCUUGGCUUAUUGUUCCCAUUUCCUUCCCUUUUCUUUUGAGUGCCACUAGGUAUUUCCCAGCCCCGUGGGAGGCUCUGGCAGGUGGCUUGGAGGCUGCUCACUCAGGUGCAGGUGAGCAGCUCAGAGAGGCAGGAAGGGCUGAGGGCCCUGCUGGAGUGCCACAAAGGGAGGCUGUGGUGAGGGCAGGGUGACCCCAUGGCUGAGAGCCUCAGGGCUGACCGACCAGCUGGGGCUCAGGUGAGCAUCACAGAGGCCAGCAAGAUGUCCCUGGAGGAUGGCCCUGGAGUACUUGCGACCCCAUUCAGGGGACAAAGAGCAUGACACCCUAGGCCCGAGGAGAGAGCCCGCCUCAGCCUGUCCCAUGAGGAUCCACCAGGGACCUCCGGAGGAAAGAGCCUCAACAAGGAGUUUAAUCUAGAAAUUGAAUAUUUAUCCCCCAAAGACUAUUUUAAACCAAAAGAGGCAAAUUACACUGAAAGAGCUAAUGAUUGAGGCCCCUGGCACUGCAUGGAAACAGGGCCCCAGUGCAAGAGGAGAUUGGUGCCGGGCAGCGAAGGCCCCGUUUGUGCCCAUCUAACAGGUGUGGGCAGUCCCGGGCCCGUGCCUGUGGACUGCAGGCUUGUCUCGGCCUUCAGGGCCAGCUCCCCCAGCUCCACAUCUCGGGGUUCACUGUUCGAAGAUUGAGGACUGGAGAGUAUAGCAGGCCCCGGGGUACGAGGGCCCUAAUUCCCACCUACUGCUUUUUUUGCUCCAGCUUUUUGGAUCUUGCUCCAGCUCAAGGGCUUCUCCUCAAUUUUGAGGAAGACAAGGCAUAACCCAGAGGGCAUGGUGGGCUCUUGUCCCUGUCCUGAAAGACAAAAUUUCUUGCGGAUGUUUGCCAAGAUAUACUCCCAUGCCGGGAUGAUGUGUUACAGGAGGUAGAUUACGCUCUUUAUUAUUUUUCUUUUUGAGAUAGUCUCUUGUUCUGUCACCCAGGCUGGAGUGCAGUGAUGCGAUCUUGGCUCACUGCAACCUCGGCCUCCCGGGUUUAAGCGAUUCUCCUGCCUCGGCCUCCCGAGUGGCUGAGAUUACAGGCGCAUGCCACCACGCCUGGCUAAUUUUUGUAUUUUUAGUAGAGACGGGGUUUCACCAUGUUGGCCAGGCUGGUCUCGAACUCCUGACCUCUCAGGUGAUCCACCCACCUCGGCCUCCCAAAGUGCUGGCAUUACAGGUGUGAGCCACUGCGCCUGGCCUACUUACGCUCUUUAAAUUAUCUUGCUGUCAACUCCUCUUGGGGAUCCUUGGCCCCUUCCCUACCUAGAGUGCCAGCCUGCUACUGCCUGGCCCCUUGGCACAGGGCCCAUCCUGCUCAGGACAGGUAGGACUGUCUCCAUCCUUGCACCUUUUUAAAGGAGAGACCAGCUUAAUGUGCUUGCAGAUUUCCUGGGAAAACCUGGGUUUUCUGCCCGAACUGGGAAGCGGAAGGAUGGAACUCUGCUGGCCGUGUCUCUGCUGGGGUUACCUCCAGGCCAAGGUGGUCUGUCCAUUCCCCGCUGCCCCCAACUGCCCAGGCUGGGCCGUUCAUGCAGCCUCCUGGCCUCCCUUCCUGAGCUCAAUGUUGAGUAGCCCCUCUGCUGCAGACAAGCCCCUCGGUGGAGGUGGUGGGGUGAAUGAGGUCCUGCCCGCUUCCGCGGCCCACGGGGGCAGUCGGAAGCCAACCACCUUCGCCCAUCAGCCCUCAGGUUUCUAGCUGGGAGAAGCGCCCACAGGGGCAGCUGUUCUGGGUCUGUACAGGGGAGGCAAGGCUGCCCCAGCAGAGUCCAAGGCCACAAAUGACAACAAAACCUGGCCCUCCAGGCCCACAGUACUGGUCAUAUCUGGAUUGAUCAAGGGCAAGAACCCCGGGACUCACAUGAAAAAGGAGAGCGUUUAGACAAAGCAAGGCCGGCCCUGCAGGGCCACAUAUUCUGCGAUCACGUGAUUCGAGCCGCUGACACCUGGGCACUCUGCAGCGCAGAACCUUCUGCCUUUAGCCUUGGUACUCAGUCUGGAUAAGGCCAAACAGGAUUGAGAACUCGACUCCCUGAUUCUAGCAACAGUAUUUAAAACUCCCUAGGAAGGGUAUUGCUUAGACACCACCCAAAUCUGCCUUUAAUCACAGGAAUGUGGCUCUCACCCAUCCUCUGGGCCCUAUUCAGUUUCAGUCUGCUCAGUUUGGGGUUGUGCUUGCUCUAGUACUGUACUUCCAAACUAAUUCGUCUGCAAGUAAGCCCUUUCCUUGGAGAGGAAAAAAGGCUUACUCCAAGAACUGAUGUGGGGAGUGGGCAAAAGCAUGUGGAGGAAACACGGUCUCCCCUCACAAUUCCGAUGGGGAACUGUGCAGCAAGGCUGCAGAGCUGUGAGGGAGGGGGCCUGGAGCCCUGGUAAAAGGGCAUAUCUGAAAAGGUAGUUUCUGGGGGCACCUGGCCAAGAAAAGGAUGAAGUUGUUGCAGUCGUCAUUUCAAACACCAAGGCAGUAAGACCAGCAGAGGACCUGGAAGAGCCACAACCCCUUGUGGAACUUUGUGCUUUGAGUGGGCCUGGGAGAACGUGACACAGGGACAGUCUCUGACCUUCACCCGGAAGCACGGAGGGCUCAGGACGCCUUGUCCCCAGGAGGCCCCUGUGAAGUGAGGGCCACUCUGCCUGGAGGUGACGGGAGGGCUCUGCGCUGUCAACACUGCAGCCCAGUUCAAGUCCUAUAAAUGAUUCCUCAGAGAUUCUACAGCCUGAGCUCUCUGGAAGCUGUUUUGAGAAGUGUUCUCUCCCAGAAAGAGGCUUCUGCGUUCUUACCUCAGGAACCCCUUUGAACAUGGCUCUGAGAGCCAACCCCGAGAAAGCUAGUGUCAGAAUUCAGGAUACCCAUGCUCACCGCAAACACUUUUACCAGGGGCUUCACCAUCUCACAAGUGCCUAAUGAGUCUUGGACUUCAGAGCAGGUUAAAAGCGUAUUAAUCUAGCAACUGUGUCAUUGAUGUAAUUCGUUCCACCAUGUGUGGUUUUAAGAAAGAACAUAUAAAUAUUCACAGUGACUCUGUCCAAUUGUGCCUCUCAUGUGUACUCAUAACCCUGGAGGAGGCGGCAGGAAUUCCAAGUGCUGCGGACAGCUUUCUGGCAAGAUGCCAUCUACUGUUAAUGGAAAAAGACAAGCCGCAAGAAACCAAAGACUAAAUGAUGUCCUGCUUCCCCGCUAGCUAUCUCCUCUGCCCCGAGGGGAUGGGUUAAGCACAUCAAGAGGAAGCUCAGUACUAAAGAAAAAGGGAAAAUUCUCCAGGAGUCUGAGAUGAUCUGAGCGGAAUGAAAUGGCAUGAGGAAAAAUGCCACCGGCUUUGCACAGGGCAGUGACACACGGUCGGGAUUCUGACAGCACCUUUCUGAGAAGCAACUUGGGGAUUCAUUAUUGAGUCUUAUUAACUCUCACACAAGUUGAGGGCUAGGUAUACAAGGAUGCCUUUUGAGGAACAGACUAACAUGGAUUAUACAAAUGUUACGUAAAAUCAGUAAUUCUCAAGUUUAAUAAAAGAACAAAACAGCAGACGGAUAAGAAUAAAUGUGCAUCCUUUUAGUAGGCUUAAGCCAUGUGUUUUGGGCAGACUUUUUUUUUUUUUUUGAAACGGAAUCUCGCUCUGUCACCCAGGCUGGAGUGCAUGCAAUGGCACAAUCUCAGCUCACUGAAACCUCUGCCUCCCGGGUUCAAGCGAUUCUCCUGCCUCAGCCUCCUGAGUAGCUGGCAUUACAGGCAUGCGCCACCACGUCUGGCUAAUAUAUAUAUAUAUUUUUUGUAUUUUUAGUAGAGAUGGGGUUUCACCAUGUUGGUCAGGCUGGUCUUGAAUGCCUAACCUCAGUGAUCUGCCCACCUCAGCCUCCCAAAGUGCUGGGAUUACAGGCGUGAGCCACUGUGCCCUGCCAGACUUUAAUGUUUUUAAAAGUGCGGCGCUUUUAGGGAGAUGAAGGAAAUGAACAUACUAUAAAUCUGCAGGCAUUUAAACCCCUCUGACAACAAUUAAGAUGGUGCAUUCACAAAGAAGCUUUAAAUCAAACAACCCAUAACACUUGAUGUAGAAAAUGUUCCAGCUUCCAUAAUUCUUUAUUAAAUAUUUGACAAGUUGCAUCGCUUCUUUACAA